UGCGUAGGUGGUUUUGCAAGUCAGAAGUGAAAGGCUACGGCUCAACCGUAGUAAGCUUUUGAAACUGCAAGACUAGAGUGCAGGAGAGGUAAGUGGAAUUCCUAGUGUAGAGGUGAAAUUCGUAGAUAUUAGGAGGAACACCAGUGGCGAAGGCGACUUACUGGACUGUAACUGACACUGAGGCACGAAAGCGUGGGGAGCAAACAGGAUUAGAUACCCUGGUAGUCC
rnacentral:rRNA from 1 species